rnacentral:rRNA from 1 species
AGAGUUUGAUCAUGGCUCAGAACGAACGCUGGCGGCAGGCUUAAUACAUGCAAGUCGAGCGGGCCCUUCGGGGUCAGCGGCGCACGGGUGCGUAACGCGUGGGAACAUGCCUUUAGGUACGGAACAACCAAGGGAAACUUUGGCUAAUACCGUAUAAUAUCUCUGGAUCAAAGAUUUAUCGCCUAAAGAUUGGCCCGCGUUAGAUUAGGUAGUUGGUGGGGUAAUGGCCUACCAAGCCGACGAUCUAUAGGGGGUCUGGGAGGAUGAUCCCCCACACUGGAACUGAGACACGGUCCAGACUCCUACGGGAGGCAGCAGUAAGGAAUAUUGGACAAUGGGCGAAAGCCUGAUCCAGCCAUGCCGCGUGAGUGAUGAAGGCCUUAGGGUUGUAAAGCUCUUUUAGAUGGGAAGAUAAUGACUGUACCAUCAGAAUAAGCCCCGGCUAAAUUCGUGCCAGCAGCCGCGGUAAUACGAAUGGGGCAAGCGUUGUUCGGAAUCACUGGGCGUAAAGCGUGUGUAGGCGGUUUAACAAGUCAGGAGUGAAAUCCCAGGGCUCAACCCUGGAAUUGCUCUUGAAACUGUUAAGCUAGAGUACUGGAGAGGUUAGCAGAAUUCCGAGUGUAGAGGUGAAAUUCGCAGAUAUUCGGAGGAAUACCAGUGGCGCAAGCGGCUAACUGGACAGUAACUGACGCUGAGACACGAAAGCGUGGGGAUCAAACAGGAUUAGAUACCCUGGUAGUCCACGCUGUAAACGAUGUAUGUUAGUUGUCGGGAGGUUUACCUUUCGGCGACGAAGCUAACGCAUUAAACAUACCGCCUGGGGAGUACGGUCGCAAGAUUAAAACUCAAAUGAAUUGACGG